CUACCACUUUCCCUAUCGUCUGCCUCUACAUGACUAUAAAAAUGUUGAUGUCCACCCUGAUUGAGGAGAGCUGAGACUACCACACGCCACCUCCAACACGUGUGCAGUACCGACUGCAUCUUUUCACCUGCAUGAGACAGAUUAACUUGAGCACAGACACAGAGAACUUCAGUAGGGGCUCAAAUCGACAUCGUCCUCCAUUUUUUUCAACAAGCUUGCAAGACAAUUUAUCAGCUCAAGAACUUAUUAUGACAACGUGGAGAAACAGAAUGAGUGGCAUAGGCCCACAGGUAACGCCCGUCAUGGCAGCUGUGUUGUUACAGCUUUAGGUCAGAGUUAGGGUGAAGAUAAAUGCGUGGGCUCAGUGUGGUCUCAGUGUAGCUAUAAUUACAGACUAUUCAGAGCAAAAUCAAGCCAGAACUGCAACCUAUGUACGCUACAUCAUCUAGAUCUCAAACACAGGGCUGUUAUAUGUAUGACACCUUAGGGAUCUUGCUUCAGCACUAAUAAAAUUAACUAUAUAAGAAUGUAUUAAUAUUAUUAAUCUUUAAAAAACGAUUAAAAA